rnacentral:tRNA from 1 species
GGGCGGGUGGCGGAACUGGCAGACGCACAGGACUUAAAAUCCUGACUUGGGCAACCGAGGUGUGGGUUCAAGUCCCACCCCGCCCA